rnacentral:rRNA from 1 species
UAGCGUGGGUAACCUGCCUCACACAGGGGGAUAACAGUUGGAAACGGCUGCUAAUACCGCAUAAGCGCACAGUACCGCACGGUACAGUGUGAAAAACUCCGGUGGUGUGAGAUGGAUCCGCGUCUGAUUAGCUAGUUGGCAGGGCAACGGCCUACCAAGGCGACGAUCCAUAGCCGGCCUGAUAGGGUGAACGGCCACAUUGGGACUGAGACACGGCCCAGACUCCUACGGGAGGCAGCAUG